rnacentral:rRNA from 1 species
GAGUAAAGAUUUCGGUCGCUUUGGGAGGAGCUCGCUUACUAUCAGCUUGUUGGUAGGGUAAUGGCCUACCAAGGCUAUGACGGUUAGGGGGUGUGAGAGCAUGACCCCCAGCAUUGGCACUGAAACACUGGCCAAACACCUACGGGUGGCUGCAGUCGAGAAUCUUCCACAAUGGGGGAAACCCUGAUGGAGCGAUGCUGCGUGCGGGAUGAAGGCCUUCGGGUUGUAAACCGCUUUUGUAGGGGACGAAAUUUUUGACGGUACCCUUUCGAAUAAGAGGUUGCUAACUCUGUGCCAGCAGCAGCGGUAAUACAGAGACCUCAAGCGUUAUCCGGAUUUACUGGGCGUAAAGCGUCUGUAGGGGGUUUAUUAAGUUCCAAGUAAAAUUUCAAGGCUCAACUUUGAAUUCGCUUGGAAAACUAAUAAACUGGAGUCUAGCAGAGGUGCAUGGAACUUGUGGUGUAGGAGUGAAAUCCGUUGAUAUCACAAGGAACACCAAAGGCGAAGGCAUUGCACUGGGCUAGCACUGACCCUGAGAGACGAAAGCGUGGGGAGCAAAACGGAUUAGAUACCCGUGUAGUCCACGCCCUAAACGAUGAAUGCUAAAUGUUCGGGGAUUCGACCCCCUGGGUGUUACAGCUAACGCGUUAAGCAUUCCGCCUGGGAAGUACGGCCGCAAGGCUAAAACUCAAAGGAAUAGACGGGGAUCCGCACAAGCGGUGGAGCGUCUGGUUUAAUUCGACAGUAAGCGUGGUACCUCACCAGGGUUUGACAUCCCUUGACAGCCUUGGAAACAAGGUUUCCUUCGGGCAAGGUGACAGGUGCUGCAUGGUCGUCGUCAGUUCGUGCCGUGAGGUGUUCCGUUAAGUCGGGAAACGAACGAAACCCCUAUUGCAUGUUACAAUUUCUCAUGCAAGACUGCCCGGAUAUACUGGGAGGAAGGUGGGGAUGACGUCAGAUCUGCAUGGUCCUUAUACCCUGGGCGACACAGGCGCUACAAUGGCAGAGACAAAGGGUUGCAAAACCGCAAGGUGAAGCUAAUCCCAAAAACUUUGUCUAAGUUCGGAUUGAAGGCUGCAAUUCGCCUUCAUGAAGCUGGAAUCGCUAGUAA